AAACACUUGAACGUCCACAGCGUGCGACGCCGGCAUUACGUCAUGACGUUGUUGCUGGCGGUAUUUUUGUUUGGCAUAUACAGUGUUUAGUGCCAAAUUUCGGGUGUAGCAUAGCAUUCACUUAAAAGAAAAGCCAUUGAUGACUCCAGCACCAUCAAAGCAGACAGAAAUGGAGCGGGAAGCCCAGUCCUCUCAGUCUUCAGAGGCUGCUGCAAAAGCAGUGUUGUUAGAGGAGUGCGAGGAGCAGUUUGGACUGCUUCAGAAGCUUCAAAAUGAGAUAAUUCUGGCAGAUACAGAGGCUAAUGAUGAUCAAUCAAAUGAGGCAGUGAAUCGCCUGAUUGCAAUCACAUCUGAGCUAGAGCAAUGGCAAGAAAUGGAACCAAAAUGUAAGCUAUUAUCUGUUGUUUUAUGUACUAUUUCAAUUUAGA
rnacentral:lncRNA from 1 species